rnacentral:tRNA from 1 species
CGGGGCGUAGCGCAGCCCGGUAGCGCACUUGCAUGGGGUGCAAGGGGUCGGCGGUUCGAAUCCGCCCGCCCCGA